CCUUGUUUCUUUGCAACAGUUGGUUUUACAGAAAUGCAAGAAACUUGAGCAUCUGCCAUCCAGAGAUGCCAUGCAACGCCUUACCAACUUAUGGUACCUGAAAAUUGAAGGCUGCCCAAAGUUAGAAGAAAGUUGCACCUAUCGGAGUAGACCAAACUCCCAGUGGUCCAACGUUUCCCAUAUUCCAAAAGUUGAAGUAGAUGGGAGGGAAAUUCAGAACUUGCGUUUCUAGGUCCAAGGUCAUGCUAGAACAUGCUGUGGUAAAUCAAGCCAAAUCCCAUGAGCGGCAGGCAAUUAUGUUAGGUUACUAGGUACAAGGUCACGGUAGAACGUGGUUGUGGUAUAUCACGUCAAAAUUUAUGGGCAGCAAUCACGUUAGGUAUUUCUAUUUAGUUGUUAGAGGACUGCUAUGACAAGUGUGUCAAGUUUUUUUUUUUUGCAUUCCUUUUCUCUCCUGAAAUAAUUUUACUGUUUAACGGGGUUUGUUGUGUUUCACAGAGGAACCGCCACUUUUAUUUUAUAUGAAGGACAGAAUCUUCAGCUGUAGACUCAUUACGGGACACUUUCAUGACUAUUUGGGGUACUGAACUGAAGUCUACAUGUGAAACAUCAAACAACUCAAAACGUAUAAGGGGCUCAAUGAGAAGCUACACGGGUCUAUCCUCUGUCUUUGCAUGGCGGUGUUUGACGUUUUUUU